UACUCGAGUGGCGAACGGGUGAGUAACACGUGGGUGAUCUGCCCUGCACUUCGGGAUAAGCUUGGGAAACUGGGUCUAAUACCGGAUAGGAGCCAUCUUUAGUGUGGUGGUUGGAAAGUUUUUUGGUGUAGGAUGAGCUCGCGGCCUAUCAGCUUGUUGGUGGGGUAAUGGCCUACCAAGGCGGCGACGGGUAGCCGGCCUGAGAGGGUGUACGGCCACAUUGGGACUGAGAUACGGCCCAG
rnacentral:rRNA from 1 species